rnacentral:lncRNA from 1 species
UGGGCUCUUCCUUGUGCAAGAUUGUCUCUUCCACUGACCUCACAACAAAUAAAUCUCCCCCAUUUUCAUCAGCUGCUCAUUUUUAUUUUCUUGGCAACAAUAUUUUUAUCUCUUUAUUUUUCUGCUGGGUGUGUAUUUAAGAGUAGUUUGGAAAGAUAGUGGGGUUUUCUUAGAAAUUGUGAAAAUUUGAAUUAGAAGUUGGGGUAAACUUAGAAUAUGGGAUGAACAAAGAGAAUUGGGGGGUUUAAAUAGAAAAACUCUAUAUUUAAGGACUAACGACAGUUUACCACUUCAAGGUUUAAGUGAUAUAUCGAAAUGGGCUCUGAGGUUUUAAUUUCAUCAAUUCAUACCCAAUAUUUUUAAAUUUCACCAAAUUAUGCCCUUCGUCGACCUCAUUGUUAGAUUUUGAUGUUGAUGUGUGAAAAAAAUAAUGAAAAAUAUUUUAUAUUUUAUUUAAAAAAAUCCCCUCUCUCUCUCUCUCUCUCUCUCUCUCUCUCUCUCUCUCUCUCUCUCUCUCUCUCUCUCUCUCUCUCUCUCUCUCUCUCUCUCUCUCCCCAAUAGACCCACCCCAUCCUCCGACCAUCUUCUCAAAUAUAAAAUAACCCCAAACAGCCACCAACUGGUCUCGUCUACGACAUAUGCCUAACCACCACCUUAUGCAAAAUGAGUAUAGCCACCGGGCUUUAUUGGGGUCUUUUUUUAUAAAUAGUAUAGCCGCACGGUUGUACUCUUUUUGACACGUGGCACCGAAUCACUAGGCAGGGUGCAAGGUGCUAGUCUAGUCCUCUUUUUUUUUAUAUUUUUUUUUAACAUAGUACAGUCGCAACGAUAUACUCAGGAUUUUUUAUUUUAAAAAAAUUAGUAUAUCUGCGCGGCUUUAUUGAGGUCUUUUUUUUAUUUUUUAUUUAUAAAUAGUAUAGCCGAGCGGCUAUACACUUUACAUAGACUGUGAUCUUUUUUAUUUGUUAAAUUGUUUUUUCUCGAUUUUUGUUUAUGGAUUAGAGUAGUUUAAGCAUUAUCCACUACUAUUAGGCCAUUACGCGAGUCUCUAUUGUGCCCUUUUGAGUUUUUAUUUUUCUAGAGUUA